UGAAGAAYGCWGCGAAUGCGAUACUUGGUGUGAAUUGCAGAAUCCCGUGAACCAUCGAGUCUUUGAACGCAAGUUGCCCGAAGCCAUUAGGCCGAGGGCACGUCUGCCUGGGCGUCACGCAUCGCGGUGCCACCCACCAUCGUUGUGAUGGGUGGCGGAUGUUGGCCUCCCGUGCUACAAUGUGCGGCCGGCCUAAAUGCGAGUCCUCGGCGAGAGACGUCACGACUAGUGGUGGUUGAAUGCCUCAACUCGAGUCCUGUCGUGUCGAUGCCCCUCGCCGUCAUCGGGCUCCCAUGACCCUAUAGCGUGCUCACAAGGGCACACAUCCGCGACCCAGGUCA
rnacentral:rRNA from 1 species